rnacentral:rRNA from 1 species
AACGAACGCUGGCGGCAUGCCUAACACAUGCCAGUCGAACGAGAUCCUUCGGGGUCUAGUGGCGCACGGGUGCGUAACGCGUGGGAAUCUGCCCUUAGGUUCGGAAUAACAGUUAGAAAUGACUGCUAAUACCGGAUGAUGACGUUAAGUCCAAAGAUUUAUCGCCUGAGGAUGAGCCCGCGUAGGAUUAGCUAGUUGGUGUGGUAAAGGCGCACCAAGGCGACGAUCCUUAGCUGGUCUGAGAGGAUGAUCAGCCACACUGGGACUGAGACACGGCCCAGACUCCUACGGGAGGCAGCAGUGGGGAAUAUUGGACAAUGGGCGCAAGCCUGAUCCAGCAAUGCCGCGUGAGUGAUGAAGGCCUUAGGGUUGUAAAGCUCUUUUACCCGGGAUGAUAAUGACAGUACCGGGAGAAUAAGCCCCGGCUAACUCCGUG